GCAGUCGACGGUACGCGGGGCAACCUGGCGACGAGUGGCGAACGGGUGAGUAAUGUAUCCCUUUGUGGGCAGUUGUGGGGGAUAACUGCUCGAAAGAGCAGCUCAUACCGCAUACGACCUGAGGGUGAAAGCGGGGGAUCGCAAGACCUCGCGCAAUUGGAGCGGCCGAUAUCAGAUUAGGUAGUUGGUGGGGUAAAGGCCCACCAAGCCAACGAUCUGUAGCUGGUCUGAGAGGACGACCAGCCACACUGGGACUGAGACACGGCCCAGACUCCUACGGGAGGCAGCAGUGGGGAAUUUUGGACAAUGGGCGCAAGCCUGAUCCAGCCAUGCCGCGUGCGGGAAGAAGGCCUUCGGGUUGUAAACCGCUUUUGUCAGGGAAGAAACGCUCUGGGUUAAUACCUCGGGGUAAUGACGGUACCUGAAGAAUAAGCACCGGCUAACUACGUGCCAGCAGCCGCGGUAAUACGUAGGGUGCAAGCGUUAAUCGGAAUUACUGGGCGUAAAGCGUGCGCAGGCGGUUAUGCAAGACAGAGGUGAAAUCCCCGGGCUCAACCUGGGAACUGCCUUUGUGACUGCAUAGCUAGAGUACGGUAGAGGGGGAUGGAAUUCCGCGUGUAGCAGUGAAAUGCGUAGAUAUGCGGAGGAAC
rnacentral:rRNA from 1 species